rnacentral:rRNA from 1 species
CCUUUGGGGGUCAGCGGCGGACGGGUGAGUAACGCGUGGGAACGUGCCCUCUGGUUCGGAAUAACUCAGGGAAACUUGAGCUAAUACCGGAUACGCCCUUUUGGGGAAAGGCUUGCUGCCGGAGGAUCGGCCCGCGUCUGAUUAGCUAGUUGGUGAGGUAACGGCUCACCAAGGCGACGAUCAGUAGCUGGUCUGAGAGGAUGAUCAGCCACACUGGGACUGAGACACGGCCCAGACUCCUACGGGAGGCAGCAGUGGGGAAUAUUGGACAAUGGGCGCAAGCCUGAUCCAGCCAUGCCGCGUGAGUGAUGAAGGCCUUAGGGUUGUAAAGCUUUU